rfam:Candidatus Desantisbacteria bacterium CG2_30_40_21 cg2_3.0_scaffold_10254_c, whole genome shotgun sequence.
CCCAGUGUUUCACCACUGGUAUCUUAGAAAGGCAUGCGUGUAUGGUGAAUCCAUGCAGGUGUGAAGCCCUUUCGACAAUGUACCGAAGGCUGGAAACAGUCGGGGUGGAAAUCGCGAGAUGGAUACCCUCCUGAUAGUCUGUCUCGGGUGAGGGC